rnacentral:lncRNA from 1 species
CCGCCUCCUGCUAGAGCAGCGGGCUGGCGACGGUCCUCGCCGGGGCGGGAAGCGGCUCAGGCUGCCCUCGCUGGCCUGCGGCGGCGCGGCUGGAAGCGCGGGCCACUCGUGCGUGGGUCACUCAGGACUGCGCCUCGCGCGACUGUGUGUGCAGGAAACAAGCAGGAAAUACCCUAAAAGAGAAUGAAGCGCCAUGUUGAGGGUCGCGGACGUCGCGAGUGCUGUGGGAAUGUGGGCUGAGGUGGAGAGUUAUGGUAGCCCGUGUUACAGGCUCAGGGGUCUGAAAGAAGCCUAAUCGUGGAGGCGGCAUCUGAGGAGGGUCUUGAAGGCUGGGCAGGCAUUUGCCCGACAGAGAUGGAGGAAGCUAGUCCUGUCUGAUGGAGGAAACAGGGCGGAGGCGUGGAGGGAGCCGUGCAGCGCUGGUGUGAGGAGCAGCGAGCAGGCCAGGCCUGUAAAGCAGAGUGAGGGAACCAGGAUAGAGAAGGCUGUACAGGAAGCAUGGUGAUGGCAUCUGCAUGGCGCCUGUGGAGGCCCCAGGGAGCUUUUACUCAUGAUGGAAGGCACAGAGGGAGUAGGCACAUCACAUGGUCCGAGGAGGAGCAAGAGAAAAUGGGAGUGGGGCUCUUUGUCCUGGGAAGAGUUUGCUGCAUCUUCCAGUUUCAGUAAUCAAAGAAGCAAAGUUCCCUGCAGUUCUUCAAGGAACCUUGAGAAUUCAGAAGGUCUUGGGGUGGCUGCAUCCAUCCUGCAGACAAAUGCCAAUCAGCAGAGGGGCCAUUCCCAGGGACACAUGUCUGGCUGACUUGGGCCUUGGCCAGGCUUUGGAUUCACCUUGAAAACAUCCCCUCUGAACAUCAGAAGUCCACUUGGUCCCCGAACAGUGUAUUAACUUCUAACAUUUCUGACUUCCAGUCAUGGAGAUUUCAAAACCAAUUGCAUAUAGCAAUGAAGCUUUUCACUUUUAAUGGAACAUUUAGGAGAAGGGCGGCUUUUCCUAUUUUCUGUGUUAUCUUCAGCCUGUUAACUGUUGUCAGCCCUGGAGAGAAACCAUCCCUUCUCCUUAAAAACAUGAACCACAUACUAAGUUGCUUCUUGCCUCUUAAAGAUUCAGGUCACUCAGGUACAUCAGACUGAGACAGGACGCUCAGGUACAUCAUACUGAGACAGGACACUCAGGUACAUGAUACUGAGACAAACACUCAGGUACAUCAUACUGAGACAGGACGCUCAGGUACAUCACACCGAGACAGGACAUGUUGAUUGUUGGUGUGUAUUUCUCCCAAGCCACCACUCAAACCAGUGUUUGAUUUCCAUGGAGGUUGGCUGAUGGCUUUUAGCUUGAGCCCCAACAGUGUGACUUCAUACAAGGCAA